rnacentral:rRNA from 1 species
GACGAACGCUGGCGGCGUGCCUAAUACAUGCAAGUAGAACGCACAGUUUAUACCGUAGCUUGCUCCACCAUAGACUGUGAGUUGCGAACGGGUGAGUAACGCGUAGGUAACCUGCCUGGUAGCGGGGGAUAACUAUUGGAAACGAUAGCUAAUACCGCAUAAUAUUGAUUAUUGCAUGAUAAUUGAUUGAAAGAUGCUAUUGCAUCACUACCAGAUGGACCUGCGUUGUAUUAGCUAGUAGGUGAGGUAACGGCUCACCUAGGCGACGAUACAUAGCCGACCUGAGAGGGUGAUCGACCACACUGGGACUGAGACACGGCCCAGACUCCUACGGGAGGCGGCAGUAGGGAAUCUUCGGCAAUGGACGAAAGUCUGACCGAGCAACGCCGCGUGAGUGAAGAAGGUUUUCGGAUCGUAAAGCUCUGUUGUAAGAGAAGAACGGGUGUGAGAGUGGAAAGUUCACACUGUGACGGUAUCUUACCAGAAAGGGACGGCUAACUACGUG